ensembl:misc_RNA 7SK 7SK RNA
GGAUAUGAAGGUGAUCUGGCUGCAACAUCUGUCACCCCACUGAUUUCCAGGGUUGAUUUGGCUGAUCUGGCUGGCUAGGUGGGUGUCCCCUUCCUCCCUUUGCUCCAUGUGUAUCCCUCCCAAAGCAGCAUGCUCUGCUGGAGAGGAUGACCUUCCCCGACAAAGGAGAAAUGGUCUUUGAUCAAGGGUAUAUGAGUAGCCACGCUCCCCUGCUAGAACCUCCACAAACAAGCUCUCAAGAUUAAAUGAGGCAUAUGUUGAGUACUCAGAACCUGGGAGAAGAGUUUGGACCAUGCUGAGAAUUUUCAGAGCAGCAAUUC